GAAGAAUGUCCAAGCCUGACAGCAUUUUUAGGUCCGAGGAGCUCCAGGCUGUUAAAAUUACACCAGUGUGAAAUUGAAAGCUGCUUCUGGGUGGGUAAUGAAGGCCUCUCCAUUGCUGGGCCCUGGGAAUUACAUCUUGCUAAUAUCUUUCUUGACCACAGCUUCCUGAAUUUCGUGCUGUAUUAAUUCGAAUUUCAGGGAAUUGAUCACGGCACUGACUCUGGUACAGACUCCUGGCAUGACACAGUUUUCUGGGUUUCCCAUUAGAACAAUUUUUCUUAGUCAAUUUUUGCCUUUCAUGUCUAAGUCCACAAAUGUAAUCAUCACAGCUUUUGAGAUACUGUCUUCCUCUUUUUUUUUUUUGUCCACCUCUGGGCAUAUGGGGGUCCCAGACCAAGUAUCAGAUCUAAGCUGCAGUUGCAACCUACACCACAGCUGAAGCAACAUUGGAUCCUUAACCCACCUUGCUGGCCAGGGAUCGAACCUAGCAUUUGCAACAGGUAUUCAAUAAUUGCAUUUGCUUAACCGAGUAUUAAUGGAGAGUGUUUUGACAGAGUUUAGGAGUUGGGGGCUAAAGCUGGUGAAAAUGAGUCAGACUUCACAGUGUUUACAGGUCCUUUAGAAUCACAAUUCCAGCAUUUGCACACUUUGGGCGUAUUUCCACCCACCACCAUGGCUAAGCUCUAGGACCAGGAAAUCAGGUCUACCUUGCUGGGGCCAAGGUCAUAGCUCUUGGCCGUGAUCAGACGUGCCCUACAUACAUGGCAUGUUCACACCUGCUCAAAGAAUCUGCUUUCUUCCAGAGCCUGUGGAUUGUAGGCCUGAGGGCACACACUUCAGCCGACUGGACCAAGGGCCUUCCUGACCUUUGAGGGAGCCAUCAGAGAACCCUGUCCUGGUGAAAAUGGCGUGGGCUGGAUUGGAACUCCUACUGGGGCUUCGGGUGGAAUAAGAGACCAAGUCAGUAGUAGGACCAAAGCCCGUAGAUGUGAAAGACUAGAGAUGAAUUUUAUUUUCCAUUGAAGCUGGGGGGACACGCUGUCUCCACUUCUUGCCUUUCUGAGGCCGGGUCUGUGAAACAUCUCAGCGUCUUUAGAAUGAGGUUCCCUGUCCAGGUUAGUGCCUUUAAUUUACAUUCAGUUGCCUGGCUCAACCCGCAGUGAAAAGUGACCCGGGAGCAGACCUGUCCCCAACCAGCCUGCCCAGCCCCGCAGAGCUCUCCUCCCUCUCCCGCAGGUGCCUGGGCUGCUCCCUGCUUGGGCCCUGCUCGGGCCCUGCUCACGGUGAACAGGAAAGACAUAGAAGGACACCGCCUGCCGAGGAAGCAGCUCAGAGACGGCUGUGAGAGGCACAGGACCACACUGUGGUCUGACGGCGGGGGCUCGAGGUGCCCCAACCUGAGAGCCAGGCCCCUGCAGGUGACCAGGCUGUGGAUGGCUCAUGGACACACAGGGGUGGGCCCUGUGACAGCUCCUUGGACGGGCCCAAAAGGUUCCCAUGUUAAUCCUGAUUUCUGGGCGUGUCUGGGAGGGUGUUUGGGAGGAACUAAGCAUGUCUGUUGGUGGCCUCGGCAAAGCUGGUUUUCCCCUCCUAGUGUAGGUGGGCAUCCUCCAGUCCACUGGGGCCUGAGGGAAGGGAAACGAUGGAGGGAGGAGAGCUGUGCCGUCUUCGCUGUCCCCUGAGGGCCUCCCUCUGCAUGGAGAUGCACGCUGGCUGCCCUGGACUCAGGGGAGGCCUUGGCACUCAGGCUGGAGCUACACCACGGGCGUUCCUGAGUUCCCAGAUUGGGGGUUUCUCGGGCUCCAUAACUGCCUGCACCAGUUUCUCAUCGUAAAUUUCUUCCUGCAUGAACCCUGUUGGUUCUCUUUUUCUGGAAACCCUGCCAAAUACAAUCCCUCAUCUCCUGGUUGGACCUGCCUGCCGAUGAGACAGGAGACACAGAGCCCCAAACUGAUGCUUUCUUGAGGCUCCAGGGAGCCACCAUCCCAGGAUUUUGAUACAAUAUUAUUAGUGUUAUUUUUUCAUUUAGUAAUUUUUAAAGUAUGGGGUUUGCAUUUAACAAAAUCAAAAGGCAAGCUUUACACAUGGCUCUCUGCCUCUUCGUAAAGAUAAAAAUAUUGGGUCACUCACACGGUGUUUUCAAGCAAGCCUCAUGUACACCAAAUGCAUGGAGGAUUGGCUGCAAUUUGCAUUUUUCUCCUGGCUUUUUGGUGUCUGAGGGACAAAGUCUCAACAUGAUGGUGAAGCACGAUUCCUCUUUGCAUGCUUUCCAGGAGAAAAGCGCAGUUUCCACGCUGUGAACAUACAGCGGGCUCCACAUUGCAAACCACGGCGGCAGCUGGGCGUUAAUGGGCUCUUCCCAGCAGUGAGUCCACUAAUGGCCUCUUCCUGGCACUCGUCAAGCAUCACUAAGGACCAGGAAGCUCCCUGCUCACGCCCGAAGUGAGAAUCUACCUUCCUAUUCAAGAGCUCUCCAGAGGUCCCUCCCUUUGGCCACGGGAGCCAGGGGACUUGGAUGUUCAGCCUGAUGGGACUGACGUCAGAUGUGAUCAACUCAGGAAUGUGACAAGCUUGGGACAGGAUUCAAUUCUGAAGCAACAGUGGAAAGGACGCAAUGUCUUUCUUUUAUGAGACCAUCCUUCAGUUUUAGAGGGAUGUCAGCACCACAUGUUUGCGGAUCCCCAGUUACACUGAGUGGACCUGAAAUAACAACUGGUCCUCAGGGCUGGGAUAUUGCAGGUGAAUCUGUUGGAGUGAAGAACCUCAAGCUGUCUCAGCUCCCUGCUCCUCUCUGACCGGGAUUGAAGGAACUCUUGCAAAUUAGAUCGACCGGGCGGAGUUUCUAGGGCGGAUUAUCCUGCUCUGCAGGUGGCUUUUGUCGCAGGGACCCAGUGUCCCUGCUCCUUUGCAUUCAUCUUCCCUCAGCCCUUUCUAGACAGCACGGCAAGGCCUCAAAGCAGCUCCUGGCGUCACAUCCAUCUGCCAGGGUCAGGGAUCUCAAGCCUCGUCAUUCCUUUGCCAAAAAUUAUGAAUCGGCUGUGUUGAUGGAUGGCCCCUUUUCCUGGCUACCUCAAUUUGAACUCUGCCUCCGUCAGGGUGGGAAGGAUAGGGUGGGCUGGAGGAGACCAAAGCAAAAUCAAAGGGAUUAAAAACAACCGUGUAAGUGAAAUCAAUGGGUUCUUUGAAGCUAAGUGAGGUGGGAGGGUAAAUACUCUCUCAGGAUAUCACGAUGGUUUUAUCCCCCCAUCCCUGGACUAAAGUGAUGGGCGUGAUACGUGUAUUUUCAUCACCCUGUCCAGUUCACUCAGGAGGUUCUCUGCUUCUCCAGUUUACAGGAGCCAAGAUACCCAGGUGUGAACAAGGAACAGUUCCAUUUCUGAUGUAUUCCUCAUCCUCUGAUGGGAAAAUCCUUGCUUAUAAUCCUCCAUUCUUUAACUGGAGUUUAUGCAACAGAAAACCAGAUUUAAAGAAAUAGAGCUAUCACCUUGAUUAGGUAAACUGAUUAAUGAACCAUACAGUCUUUAGGACUGGAAGAAACCUCUUCUCCAUUUCUGAGUCUUCAUUUUAAAGGGGAGAAAACUGAGGUCUAUGAAGAGGUCAGGCAAUAUGUCCUAUGCCUUGUCAGUGUCCAGGUGCACUCAGACAGGGAGCUGCUGGCGGGACAAGAGAUGGGGACAGAAAGGACAUCAGUGUUCCCUGGGCUCCACAGGCUGGUGUCACCCAGCUAAGGAGCAAGGACAUCAGGUGACCGCUAGUUGGAGAUUUUCACAAAAGUGUUGUUUCCAGUGGGAAAGGUUGUCUUCUGAGAUGGUCAUGCCUCCGCUUAGGGUUAAAAUGUAAUGAUGGUUACUGCCCAUGGGGAUUUUAGAAAUGUCUUUAUGGGGGGAAUAUGUGUUUGCCCUCCCUAACUUUUUUCUAGUUCUGAUUUUUUUCUGGUUUUGAUUUUUUUUCCUAAUAGCUUUAUUUACUGCUCUAUCAUAUCUAAAAUUCCAGGAAACCACUGCCUUAAGCUAUAACGAGUAACUGGAGAUUUUUAAAUCAGAGAGUUAACAUGAACAGAGAAGUAAUUUGGGAAAAUUAAUUGUUCUUCAGUGCAUAGUAUCAACUUUAGUGGGAAGAAAAUGGAGUCAGGAAGCCUGUUUAGAAAAUUGCCACACAGUCAGCACAGAGUCAGAGGAAUGAGCUUGGGGACUGCAGGGGGCAGGGGGGCACUGAGAUGAACAGAACAGGGCAAAGGAGAGGAAAGGGGCAAAGAUGACCCGAAUGACAAUGAUUUACACAGGGGCCAGAAAAGCCUGGAAAGCUUAGGGAAAAAAAACCACCUGAUUGAUUUGGUGAUGGCUGUAUUUGGUUUGAGGAUAUGACAGGUACAUAAUGGUCCAAUUGGAAUUUGGCCACGUGAAGACCAAGAUUCUGUAGGGAGCCUGAGGGAAUCCCACGGGAAACCCACAGAAAUGUGGCAGUCACAAGAAUGGAGAGAAAACACACAUGCAGAAGACCAAGGGCUGGAGAGGCUAAUAGGUCCUUCACAGAAGGGAAGGAUAUAGAGACAGUGACGGAGGCAGAGACAAUCAGCCCGAGAAAGAAGAAACCCAGGAAGAAAGAGAGAUUUAACAUGUAACACACAGUGUCCCAUCCCUUCCUUCCUUCCUCCCUGCCUCUCUCUCCUUCCUCUUUCUUCUUUCCAACCAUCCAUCCAUCCUCCAUCCAUCCAACUAUUUAUUGAGCACUUACUAUGUUCCAGACUCUGACCUUGGCUCCCUGAUCACCCAGAGGCUGCAGGUGUAGAGACAGCUGAGCAGUUGAAGGAAGCAAUUGGUUCCAAGGAAGGGCGGGUCCACAGGGCCCAUCAGCCCAGAGCCCCAGCUCUUCAGCCAGAGCUCUAACUCCUUGGCCUUAUGAUACUUUUUGCUCAUGACCUUGGUUGUGUCCAGAAGCACUGGUCAAAGUGCUGAGGGCAAAUCCACAGAACGUACGUAUCAGCCCAUUUAGCACGUGGGGAAGUUCCACUGCUGCUUAUGUUACAAGCAGAAUA
ensembl:lncRNA